UCGUGCUAGACGGGGAGCUAGCGGUGCCCUGCACCCGCAAUCCGCUAUAGCGGGGUCGAAUUCCCUCUCGAGGUCCGCCUGCUCGGGACCUGCCGCGAUCACGGGGCCAUGAAGGUUGGGUCCUGCGCGGCGGGUGCCUACGAACCCCGCCAGGUCCGGAAGGAAGCAACGGUAAGUAGUGCCACCUGGGCGCCGCAGGGGCACCUGACUGGAGCUACCAGGUCUCGGUAUGCCGCGCACGGUGGAUCGACAGAGGGUGCACGA
rnacentral:SRP_RNA from 1 species